CCUGGCUCAGGACGAACGCUGGCGGCGUGCCUAAUACAUGCAAGUCGAGCGAGCUGAACCAACAGAUUCACUUCGGUGAUGACGUUGGGAACGCGAGCGGCGGAUGGGUGAGUAACACGUGGGGAACCUGCCCCAUAGUCUGGGAUACCACUUGGAAACAGGUGCUAAUACCGGAUAAGAAAGCAGAUCGCAUGAUCCGCUUAUAAAAGGCGGCGUAAGCUGUCGCUAUGGGAUGGCCCCGCGGUGCAUUAGCUAGUUGGUAGGGUAACGGCCUACCAAGGCAAUGAUGCAUAGCCGAGUUGAGAGACUGAUCGGCCACAUUGGGACUGAGACACGGCCCAAACUCCUACGGGAGGCAGCAGUAGGGAAUCUUCCACAAUGGACGAAAGUCUGAUGGAGCAACGCCGCGUGAGUGAAGAAGGUUUUCGGAUCGUAAAGCUCUGUUGUUGGUGAGGAAGGAUAGAGGUAGUAACUGGCCUUUAUUUGACGGUAAUCAACCAGAAAGUCACGGCUAACUACGUGCCAGCAGCCGCGGUAAUACGUAGGUGGCAAGCGUUGUCUGGAUUUAUUGGGCGUAAAGCGAGCGCAGGCGGAAGAAUAAGUCUGAUGUGAAAGCCCUCGGCUUAACCGAGGAACUGCAUCGGAAACUGUUUUUCUUGAGUGCAGAAGAGGAGAGUGGAACUCCAUGUGUAGCGGUG
rnacentral:rRNA from 1 species